rnacentral:lncRNA from 1 species
AGCAAGAAAAGAGUUCUAAAGGGGUCAGUUUUAUCUACAGAUUAACAUAAUUUUUUUUAUUGAGGUUAAGUCACAUAACAUUAACCAUUUUAAAGUAAACAGUUUAGGUGGCACUUUAUACAUUCACAAUGUUGUUCAACCACCAGCUCUAAUUCCAGAAUGUGUUCAUUACCCCAAAAGGAAACACUGUACCCAUUAAGCAGUUACUCUGUAUUCCCCUCUUCCCUAAUCCCUAGCAAACGCCAUUCUGCUUUCUGUCUCUAAUUUGAGCCAACAUCGAGGAAGAGUACUCUGUACAAUUGAAAUUGCAGAAAAAACUUUGGGAUGUGAUUGUUAGGAAUAAAAAACCACCUAAUUCUUUGCAUGCUUCUCUAAGUACAGUAGACAUGCUGCCAGGGACUCUUUAUGGAAGAAAAGUUGAGACUCAUAGAAGUUUGCAGUUUUGUUUUGAUCACCCCAGAGGGUUUUGCUCAAACUCUUAGACUCAUUUGUAUUUCUUCAUUGGGUUAUAAGAACUAAAAUUUAAUGUUCUAUACAAAUGUGAACAACUAAUACUUGGUCUCCUAUCUAGAACUUGUUUGCCUUUUAGGUUUUCUUAAUGUAUAGAAGAAACUAGGAAUAUUCACAAAGGAUUUAUUUGAAGUUACACUGGGAAACGAUUUUUAGAAUUUGAAGCUCUUUGAUCCCUGUGAAUCUAACUUUAUGACUAUUUUAUUCAGCUAAUCUUUGAGAAUAUUUAGAGUUUUGAUUUGCGUGGCACUCUGCUUUUAAUCCCUUGUUGAAUAAGUGUUAGAAACCUUGAUCUUGGCCCUAUACCUGAUCACCUCUAAAAACAUGAACAGUGUUACAAAGGCAGUUGUUUAGUAAGCUUUUUUGGAUUGUUUUAAUUGGCUGACUGAGGGAGACAAAAUUAGUUUUUUUUUUUCUUUCUAGAAUAAAGGGUAAUAAACUUGGACUUUAGAGUUACUGCUAAGAUUGACAUUUCCAUUUGGGGCUUUAGAAAUAUAUUGUUAUCUUAAAUUCAAAAUGGUACUUUAUCUAAUUGAAUUGAAAUCUUAAAAUUUAUGAGAAACAAAAGUCACUUUAUGUUCUUAGUAAAUAUUUCUAAUGGGGUUAUAGGAGAUCUAAGUACAAAAAAAAUUUAAAAUUUUGUUAUUAAUCUCCCCUCCUUAAGGAAAAUUUUAUUAAUAUACAUAAUUAUAAUUUAGUUAUAAGAACAACUUAAGUUGAGUACAGUGGCUCAAGCCUGUAAUCCUAGCACUUUAGGAGGCCAAGGCAGGAGGAUCUCAUGAAGCCAGGAGUUCCAGACCAGCCUGGGCAAUAGAGUGAAACCCCACCUCAAAAAAAAAAAAAAAAAAAAGGAAACUUAAAAAAUGAUAAGGAAAAGGAUUAUGUCAGAAUAUUUAGAACUCUGCAGUAAAAUUUCUGGUUUUCUGUAAUUUUUUUCAGGAAAAUGUCAACUUUUUGUAAAUACAUGUUUCUGUGUUUUUAUAUAUGCCUCAUUAAUUUUUUAGACUAACAUUUAGUGGAAAGCUAAUGUACUCAAUUAAUACAUUUAAAUUAUAAAAAUAACUUUUUUUUUGAGACGGAGUCUUGCUCUGUCACCCAGGCUGGAGUGCAAUGGCAUGAUCUCGGCUCACUACAACCUCUGCCUCCUGGGUUCAAGCAAUUCUUGUGUCUCAGCCUCCCAAGUAGCUGGGAUCACAGACUCAUGCCACCAUGCCCGGCCAAAUUUUGUAUUUUCAGUAGAGAUGGGAUUUCACCACGUUAGCCAGGCUGGUCUUGAACUCCUGAUCUCAGGUGAUCUACCUGCCACGGCCUUCCAGAGUGCUGGGAUUACAGACAUGAGCCACUGCACCCGGCCGAACUUUUAUCUUGAAGUAGAUAGUGUCAACAAAUACAAAAAUAAAAAUAAUGUCUUUAAAUGAGGUGAUCAGGGAAGGCCUUCUCUGAAGGAAUUCAUAUAUUAAUGCCUAUACAGAAGUGGGGAGAAGGUUCAGGGUUGGAGGAAGAGUAGGACAAAC